rnacentral:rRNA from 1 species
GACGAACGCGGGCGGCGUGCUAAUACAUGCAAGUGGGACGCAAGGAAACACACUGUGCUUGCACACCGUGUUUUCUUGAGUCGCGAACGGGUGAGUAACGCGUAGGUAACCUGCCUAUAAGCGGGGGAUAACUAUGGGAAACGAUAGCUAAUACCGCAUAAUAUUAAUUAUUGCAUGAUAAUUGAUUGAAAGAUGCAAGCGCAUCACUAGUAGAUGGACCUGCGUUGUAUUAGCUAGUUGGUAAGGUAAGAGCUUACCAAGGCGACGAUACAUAGCCGACCUGAGAGGGUGAUCGGCCACACUGGGACUGAGACACGGCCCAGACUCCUACGGGAGGCAGCAGUAGGGAAUCUUCGGCAAUGGACGAAAGUCUGACCGAGCAACGCCGCGUGAGUGAAGAAGGUUUUCGGAUCGUAAAGCUCUGUUGUAAGUCAAGAACGUGUGUGAGAGUGGAAAGUUCACACAGUGACGGAGCUACCA